GCUGAUUUGGCUGGGCAAAACGAAGAUUAGACUGGCUAUUAUUUAUCGUCAUUUGCUGCUGGGCAACUUGUGGCUGGGAAAGAGACGUGGAGUUGGACGUGGUUUGAGACAUAUCUAGCAUCUGGCUUGUUGCAAGUGACCUAGAAAAGUUCUGUGAUACAUCUAAGUGCUUCUGCUGAUCUUGGAUUGGCAUAAGCUGGGACGGUUGUUGCAGUAAAGAUUGUUGAGCUAGAAGUGACUGCUGCUGCAGCUUCUGCAAAAGCUGCAUCUGUAAUUGGUUAUCAGAGAAAUGCAGCUGUUGGUUAAGUGGAUCACUCGGCUGGGGUUGCA
rnacentral:misc_RNA from 1 species